UACGUAGGGUGCAAGCGUUACCCGGAUUUAUUGGGCGUAAAGCGUUCCGCAGGCGUCCCUUUAAGUCGUGCUUCAAAUACCAGAGCUUAACUCUGGAAGGGGGCACGAUACUAUUGGGAUAGAGGAUUGUCGGGGUUACUGGAACUGUCGGUGUAGGAGUGAAAUCCGUUGAUAUCGAUAGGAACGCCAAGGGCGAAGGCAAGUAACUAGGCAAUAUCUGACGCUCAUGGACGAAAGCUAGGGUAGCGAAAGGG
rnacentral:misc_RNA from 1 species